CAAGACGUAGCUUUAACAUAAAGCGUUCAGCUUACACCUGAAAGAUGUUUGCUAUCUACCAGACCGUCUUGA
rnacentral:tRNA from 1 species